rnacentral:misc_RNA from 1 species
UACAGAGGUCUCAAGCGUUGUUCGGAUUCAUUGGGCGUAAAGGGUGCGCAGGCUGCGUGGUAAGUCGAAUGUGAAAUUUAGGGGCUCAACCCCUAAACUGCAUCUGAUACUGCCAUGCUAGAGGACUGUAGAGGAGAUUGGAAUUCACGGUGUAGCAGUGAAAUGCGUAGAUAUCGUGAGGAAGACCAGUGGCGAAGGCGAAUCUCUGGGCAGGUCCUGACGCUCAUGCACGAAGGCUAGGGGAGCAAACGGG